CGCCGCGGCGGCGGCCCCAGUCCUCCUCUCCCUUCCCCUUCCUCCGGAUGGCAGGAGCAGCGGGGGAAAGCCACGCGAAACAGCAAUGGAACGACGGCGGCAAGCAGCAUGUGGCUGGAUGGAAGCCGCGACAAUGUGUAUCUCAUCACCAUGUCGUCCUCAACAUCAGAAAUUUCCUCGCCAUCACUUCUCGACUCUAUCCCACACGGGAUCGUUCAUCUCUCACCUUUUUUCUUUCUCUCGAUCGAAAUCGAGAUAUAGAGCGGCAGGGACGACGGUGGCCACGAGCCGGAUUUCCUGCGCAUGGGCAACACCAGCUUCCUCAUCAUCAACCAGCGCUCUGACUACGCCUUCGGUCUCUUCGCCGGCCGCAAGGACAAACCUAAACUUUUAGCGGUUUCGAACAAGAUCUCCUUUGCGAACCCGAAGGCCCCGGCAUUCCCGCGCCUGCGCAGGGGAAACAAUGGAACGAGAUGGCCGUGACUUGGACAAGCAGGUAGAACAUGGAGGAGGCGUACCCGUUCAUGGAGUGCAGGAUGAAGGGCGGUGAGGCCUCCAAGCGAACACCGGCCGGCACGCUCACCUUCACGUGAGGGCACCUCUGCGGCAACUUGGCCCGCGAAUAGGGUUAAAGAGAUCCGGGUUUCGUCCACACCGCGUUCCUCAAGGACAUGUGGCCAAACAGAUUGUGUUCGUAUCAGAUUGGGCACGAGCUACAUGACAGAAACAUGGCGCGGGGCAAGUCCUCCAGCUUCCAUGCAUCACCUUACCCGGGCCAAGCAUUGUUGCAGCGUCUCAUCGUCUUCGGCGACAUGGGAGGCGUAAAGAUUUCAUCAAGGUAUAAAAAGGUUCAGGGGUCAGGUGUACAACGCUAAUGGUGUGCUAUAUGGCUUGGUUGCAAGGGAUAAAGGACGGGAGCAGUGAGCUCCAGGGGUUCCAGCCCGGGCCACAGGUGACCACCACUUGGUUCUAUCAUUAGUAUGAUCAUCAAGGAAUCAGAGUGGAUGAAGUGUGUGGGUGGAGCAUUAUUGCCAGCUCCAACAAGCUUACUCGGUGAUUUUCAAACACCAUCGGAUGGCUUGCCAUCUCAAAAGACACUAUGUUUGCUUGUCUGAACUUGACGCUUCUGAACCAUCAUGGGGUAAUUGCUUGAAGUAUUUUAUGUUGGUGUCAUAUCCUACAUCGUUCAUAUAAAAAGGAUCAAGCUGGAUGUCAGUAUUUUGGUGGCAAAUGGACAAUGCCGACGGGUAGGGCGGGGACGAACGACAGCCGCCAUGGUUUUUCCGAGUGAGAGUGAGAUAUCCGCCUUCGUGCAGCCAAAGAAAUCGAAUCCUGGGCCGAGGUUGGCCACCGUAGCCGGCAUGAAAGCUGAUUGUCUUGAAGGCCGGUGAUGGAUCCGCCAUCGCACACCGCCUCUGAACUUGGUGGAGAUGCAGAAGUUGCACGAUGGCGCUCUGAAGACCUCCACGCCUGUUGUCGCGAGCAUAACCACGACCACUGCAUCAGUAAGAAAGAUACUAACUUUAUACAUAUCGCCUAGCUUCAGAAGCAUUGCCAUAUUUUCUUAUGCGGUCAACCAAGACCACCAUGAACAACCAUACUACACAUUACAUUGUUUCAACAUGUGAUUCAUAGAUAAUAACGAUUUACCAGACAAGCCAGCCUUGGGUGCCGUGGCUAGAUAGUUUCAGAAUUCAGCCUUUCAGUUCAUGCAAGCUCGAAUAUGCUAUUUAAUCAAGCUUUUGUGUACCUUCUAAUAGUGACACAUGUAGACGUGUGAAGUUGAGUGAUACUAAUACUAUUUAAUUUUAAAUAUCCAAUUAUAAAUUUUGGUGACGCGCGAUUUGGCUGGUAAGGAGACACGAAGACUGUCAAGGAAAAAAAAUGAAAGAGAGUGUAUUUGUCACUGUAUGAUGGAAACCAGAUGCCACAAUGCAUAAUUAAUACUUAUUUCUGAAUUAAAAGAAUAAUUUGAUCAAUGUGUCUAUUUUUUCUUAUUCUAAGCCUUUUAUUAUGAGAUAAACAAAGGGAUAUUAUUUUUGCUUUUAUAUUAUGCAAAUAUCAGUAAGGUUAAGAAAUAUCCAGAAAAAUAAUUAAUAAGGUUAUUAUUAUAGUUAUUGUCUUUUAUUAUUGCCUUUUAUUAAUAUUAGGUUUUUGCCUUUUAUUAAGUAAGGAAAAAUAUCAGUUAUAAAAAAAUUGACAUUGUGGUAUGGUUCGGUAAUACACAAAAACUAACUAAAUCAUGACAAAUUCUCCUAUUUAAUAGUACGGAUCUCACAAUAACAAUAGAGAUCGUAGACGCCGUCUAUUUUUUGUAGACGAAAAACUUUAACAUGUCAAUGUUAUAAAAAUAGUGUGACAUUUAUAUUGUUUUAUUGAUACUCUUUUGAUAUGGUUUUUGAAAACAAGAUACAUGAGCUAGCAGCCUGUUGUGCUACACUUGGAAAGGCUCUAGGGUCCUGGAAGAAUCAGGCCAGCUUGAUAGUUCAACAAAUGUUCAUUAGUUCAUUUCUAACGCAAACUUAAAUUCGAGAAACUGUAAUUAUGUUCCAUUGUUAUGUUCGCACAACCAUAAUGUUAGCCUCUAACACGGCUUCACAAGGAUCAAUGUUAGAUAAACUAUAUCUGAUGGUUAAAUUGAUUUUCUUUGCAUGGACGAUUGUCAAUCAAUAUGGUUAGCCUAUUAGGUUCCUGUUUACAGUUCAAACUGAUGAAAUAGGCUUAAAUUAUUCUGUACAUUUGUUUGUGAGAUGAUUACAUAUAAAUGGGAUGUUUAUCGGCAUUUUGUACCAUUUUAUUAUCAUUUUAACCAUUGAAUUAAUUCAUCAAAAUAAUAUAUUUAUGUAAUAAGAAAACAAUAUGAUUCACUAAUCAGAGUGUUUGAAUUAUUUAUUGUUUUUUAUUGUAGCUCCACUCUCUUCCUAAUAAAGCUUCAUAGAAAAUUGGUUGAACUUUGGAUUGCGGUAACAUCAAACGUUAGUAUCGGUUACUAUAUGAAAAUCGAUCACCCAAUACAUUGUUUUUGAGUGAGUUUAGUAGCUAUAUUAACUCAGGUGAUAGUAAGUAUAUGAACCCAGAUGAUAGCAGAAAGAAGAGUUCAAAUUGUAGCAAAAAGUAAAACUUUGAUUAUCUUGUUCCUACGCACAUGAAGAGCAUUGUCUAUAGAGACAUCCUUACAUCAUAGGUGAGAAAUUUGGCACUUAUACUUCCAGCAAUCAUACCAUCUUUUUUAUUAUGUAUAAAUUUAGAAUAUAAUUAUAUAAUUGUAUUGUUUUUUAAUUAUGAGAGAUUUAUUUUGUGCAGGUCACCUCCGUCAUAGGGAGUCAUUUAUGUUUACCUUGCAGGUUAUCAUGUGUUAUUGAGAUAAAUUGAACAUGUUGUGAUAUAAAAUAAUUUUGCAAUGAUUUAUCAUUUCUUUUAAGAUUUUAAAUACAUUUUUAAUCACUAGGAAAUUAUUUGUGCGUUGUAACAGGAUACAUUAUUAGAACCCUGUCAUAACAUUGUAAUAUGCUAUUUUGUUUUUCAUUUCAUGCUCUCAUGGAACGGUAGAGACCUGGCGAUGCCAGUUUGGGUGGUGAGUAUUGUCCGUUACUCACGUUUUUAGACCUUCCACGUGAGGUAUUCAUGCUAACUACAUAUUUUGCUUUUACAGUUUUUAUUAUACCUGCUCAAACAUUUUCCAAUGAAGCUAAAAACAACUUUCCUAAUAUUGUGCUAGAAUUUCUUAAGCACAUGAAGUAGAUCUCAAUAACUUGUAAUAGAUUUUUAGUUGGAUCAUCACUUUAUAUGUGUACGCUGUCAUUUUGCCAUUUUGUUAUCAGUUUACAUUACAAGUGAAGUGGACUUCAAUUAUUAUGCAAUUGUGACUGUGUUAUAUUGUCUCUACCUGUGAAAUUUAACAUGCAUUAUCUUUAUAUAACUUCAGCAAAAUAUUUUAGAAGCCCAUGGAAACACACGGGCAUUCUACUAUUCUCACCUAAAACUUGAAAAAUUCAAUCACACAAAACUUAACGGAACUUCAUGAGAUAGGUUAGUAUGAUAAAGCAAAUCAUUCACUUUGGUACUGUCAAAGACAAGAUUCUAAUUGUUAUC